rnacentral:rRNA from 1 species
UACGUAGGAUGCAAGCGUUGUCCGGAAUUAUUGGGCGUAAAGAGCGAGCAGGCGGUUUGGAAAGUUGGACGUGAAAUUUUAGGGCUUAAACCCUAAAGGGUCGUCCAAAACUCCCAGACUAGAGUGCAGGAGAGGAAAGCGGAAUUCCCGGUGUAGUGGUGAAAUGCGUAGAUAUCGGGAGGAACACCAGAGGCGAAGGCGGCUUUCUGGCCUGUAACUGACGCUGAGGCGCGAAAGCUAGGGGAGCAAACAGG